rnacentral:rRNA from 1 species
CCUACGGGCGGCUGCAGUAGGGAAUAUUGCUCAAUGGCGGAAACGCUGAAGCAGCAACGCCGCGUGGAGGAUGAAGGUUUUAGGAUUGUAAACUCCUUUUGUUAGAGAAGUUUAUGACGGUAUCUAACGAAUAUGCCCUGGCUAACUCCGUGCCAGCAGCCGCGGUAAUACGGAGGGUGCAAGCGUUACUCGGAAUCACUGGGCGUAAAGAGUGCGUAGGCGGGGUAAUAAGUCAGAUGUGAAAUCCUGUAGCUUAACUACAGAACUGCAGUUGAAACUGUUACUCUGGAGUGUGGGAGAGGUAGGUGGAAUGCUUGGUGUAGGGGUAAAAUCCAUAGAGAUCAAGAGGAAUACUGAUUGCGAAGGCGACCUGCUGGAACAUUACUGACGCUGAUGCACGAAAGCGUGGGGAGCAAACAGGAUUAGAUACCCUUGUAGUC